CAAUCUUACACUUUGGAUCGGCCCAGAGGAUGUGUGCUCACCGGAGUACUCGCUGCUGCCCUUGCUCGUGGCGCCGCUCCCGGGGCCGGUGGUGCCCAGAUCGCCGGAGGCGGAGUCCGACGCCGCUCACAAGGGGGCAAUGUCCCGCGCGGCCGGUGAGGUGGUCCGAUGCGACUCCGCGUGGAGAGCCCCUGCGCUGGUAAGAGGGGAUCACUCCGCAUUUACACCACCGGAGGAAGGGGGAGGAGGGCGAGACUGACUGAUUUGGUGGGUUUGUGUACAGUUGAUGCCCGCCGGAGUCGCCGAUCGCGUCGGCGGUGAACGCCUGCGAAGAACGGGUGAUCGAUUCCUUAACUAUUCCUGCUUUUUUUUUUUGGUUCGUUUGGAUCAUACGGCUUACAUGAUACUGACUAUUUGGCUUCAAUCUGUUACCUCUGUUGUUUCAUCCCUAAAUUCAUAUGGAUGCUAAUAAAUCUCGAUAGAUAUGAAAAAUAUACAUUGAUUUAUGGAUGAAUCUAGAAAUAACCAAAUCAUCUCGUAAUAUGGACCGGAUGGAGUAAUUGUUUAGUCUGUCCGACUGUCCCUGCUUCAUAUAUCCAAGUAGCAAUACUAGAAAGAAAUUAGAAUUUCAGUUCCGGUCUUGGGAGUCUUGAGUCUUGACAGCUGAACAUGUAAAUACCUUGAAGUGUUAUUGACUUACGGUCGUCUAUUCUGUUUAGACUUGAGGCGCUCAUCUGUCAAAUAAUGUGGUAUGCACUGCAUAUAUAGUGGAAAUGGAUGCAUCUCAUAUACAUAGUAGACUAAAUGGUUAUGAUGAACAAUACUACUCUGUUGAAGGAACCUGAAUACUACUACACCAUUUAUUAUUGCAAGAUUUUAGGAGCUCAAGUAUCUCAGCGUCUGUAGACCUACAUAAAAAUAGGUGGUCAUUAUCUCCUGUAUGCAAUAAUAUACCUUAUUGUUUUUCUCAUAAUACACAUGUCAGCUAGAUAGAACUGUAGGCCUGUAGCAAUGACAGAACUGUGCAUUAUUCCAUAAGAGAAAGCAGGAUUUCAACCACACUGCUCAUGCUUGGUCUUCUGCGCCUCUCUUCUUCCAAACAUGACACUGCUAUCUUAACCACUGUGGCUGCCUGUGAAUAGUUGAAUUCUCCAUGUAGCCUGCAGUCGACAAACUCCAAGAGCCAUGAUUGAUCUUCAUUAGCUAAUUUCUCUUUGAGGAUGUCAACAGUGUGUUUAACAGUAAGUUCCACCUCCUCACCGUCAACCACCCAUCCGGAAACCCGAAUCCCCUUUACUAACUCAAGAAGUACAACUCCAUAGCUGUAAACAUCAACCUUACCUGUGAUCGGAAGAUUUAGAGCCCAUUCUGGCGCAAUAUACCCUCUAGUUCCAUGCACUCUUGACAACAUCUGUGCUACUCCUCUCUUCAGUAGCUUCACCAGUCCAAAAUCUGCAAUCUUGGGCUCGAAGUCUUUAUCUAACAAUAUGUUUUCUGGUUUGAUAUCGCAAUGCACGAUCCACUCAAGACAUUCAUGGUGGAGAUAGGCCAAUCCUUUCGCUACCCCAAGUGCAAUGUUAUACCUUUGGCUCCAUUGUAGCCAUGAAAUGAGCUCUGAUGGUCAGAUAAAACCUUGUCCAAAGAACCAUUCUCAACAAACUCAGUAACCAAGAGUUUCUGUGUCUUUUCGGCACAAAAUCCCCAAAUCCUGACCAGAUUCAUAUGAUAAACCCUCCCUAUGAGACUUAGCUCUGACCUGAAUUCCUGUUCUCCUUGGAUUGCAUCAUUUAGUUUCUUCACUGCAACCUUUUAUCAUCAAGGGUUCCCUUGUAAACCGCUCCUGAGCCUCCACUUCCUAGCUCUUCUUGAAAACAAUAUGUUGCCUUCUUCAACUCCUUGUAGCUGAACCUUCGGAAUUGGCUAGUAAUUAUGGUGUAUCCUUCAUCAUCGAUCUCUGGUCUUCUGCCCUAUUUGUUAGCAACCCAGCAUCCAACUGUAAUUAAUGUCACUUCAACUACAAGUAACGUCAAUGCAGAGGAAAGGAAGUAGCCAAACUUGAACUUGGAAUUGUUACUCCUGAGAAAUUGUGAUGAAGGAUAGGCUUCUUUUUCAGUGGCCACACAAGCAUGGAAUGGUUCAGAAGCCAAUAUUUGUGAGUGGGUCAUCGCCUUGGGAAAUUUCAGAUAGAAAUCAUUAUACAGACCUGGGUAUUUCCUGCCAUUGAAAAUCAAACCUUUUAUAAAACAUUUACCUAAACCCUUGUGAUAUUCAAAGGCUUGGUAAUCAUGAUUGUCCAAGCACAUUCUUUUGCAUUGCUUGAGUGUUACUGGUUUGGAGUAGUUCAGAUCAUACCCAUACAAGUCGGUAUGUGAGGUCUUUUUGAAUAAGAAUCCCUGGUUAGACUUAUUCUCUGCGUUAUUGUUCCAUAUGAGUGUGGCAUUUGCCUCGCGUCUGCAUCCUUGGCUCCAGUUCCUUGGUUUAACCAUCUCAAAGCCUUCGAGACAAGAACAACGAGGGUCUGGUUUGUACAUGCACAAACUGUUUUUACCACACACUCCAUGUAUUUCACAUACUCGAAGGAAUGCCAUCCAAGUGACUGACCAGUUUCUUGUGGCCAUGUUUAGGUUAUACAUCCUAAGAUUUCCAUCGUAAUCCAGUGUCAACCUCCUCAUGACAUCCUUCUGACCAUGAUCAGAUGCUACAAAGGUAAGCUGGUCAGUAGCUACAAACCUGCCAUCAGAGUCUAGAACCCCAUUUCGGUUACUGUAAUAAGUAGUCCUUCCAUUGUCCCAUGGUAAGAAGGAAGGAUUUGGCCAAUAUAUGCUACUAGUCUCAGAGCCAUUGUAUAUAAGACUAAGCACAUUGUUAUUGUCAAAGAAAAAGGUAUACAAGCCUGAGUAAGGCAAACCUCUGGCUGACGCAGACACCAGCUUUGUAUCUCGAGUCAUUGGCUGCGUUGGCAAGAGCGUGUCGGUUGGCGAAUCGAAGCUCCUCCAGAGGUGAUGACCGUCUGGAUCC
rnacentral:lncRNA from 1 species